rnacentral:lncRNA from 1 species
CUGAGUGGAUUUCAGGACUUCUUCAAAAGCAUGAUCAUUCAGUUUGUUUUUGUCUUCUUUGUGAAUUGAUUCAAAUUCAGCCAGCAACUGGUGAGGUUUCAAUAUCCCUUUUCCAUGGCUUUCAAUCCUGCAACAGCCAAAACCAGCAUGAAUAACCAGUGAUACACAUAUUUAAACUAAAUUUUUGUGCUUAAGACAUAAAAAAGAAGAGGUGGAGCAAGGAUUUGAAGCUUAUGGGUUUCAGGGUUCUAAUCAUUUUAAGUUAUUGGGUUCUAAAUUAAUAAUUUAUACAUAUUCAAUAUAUUUUUAAGACAAAUACAUAGAUUGGACCAAAGCGACCGGGGUUCGGCCGAACCCGUACUAGAUGGGGCCAGGUAUACCAAGCUCUCGCUGAUGAGGUUUCAAUAUCCCUUUUCCAUGGCUUUCAAUCCUGCAACAGCCAAAACCAGCAUGAAUUACCCAUGAUACACAUAUUUAAACUAAAUUUUUGUGCUGAAGACAUAAAAAAGCAGAUGUGGAGCCCGGAAUUGGAGCUUAUGGGUUCAGGGUUCUAAUCUUUUUAAGUUAAUAGGUUCUAAAUUAAUAAUUUGUACAUGUUCAAUAGUUUUUUUUAGACAAAUAA